rnacentral:rRNA from 1 species
UACGUAGGGUGCGAGCGUUGUCCGGAAUUAUUGGGCGUAAAGAGCUCGUAGGCGGUCUGUCGCGUCGAUCGUGAAAACUUGGGGCUUAACCCUGAGCUUGCGGUCGAUACGGGCAUGACUGGAGUUCGGCAGGGGAGACUGGAAUUCCUGGUGUAGCGGUGAAAUGCGCAGAUAUCAGGAGGAACACCGGUGGCGAAGGCGGGUCUCUGGGCCGAUACUGACGCUGAGGAGCGAAAGCGUGGGGAGCGAACGGG